GGGCCGCACGCGCGCUACACUGACCGGAUCAGCGUGUGCUCUCCUUGGCCGACAGGUCCGGGAAACCCGUUGAACCCCGGUCGUGCUAGGGAUAGGGAAUUGCAAUUAUUUCCCUUGAACGAGGAAUUCCCAGUAAGCGCGAGUCAUUAGCUCGCGUUGAUUGCGUCCCUGCCCUUUGUACACACCGCCCGUCGCUACUACCGAUUGAAUGGUUUAGUGAGGUCCUCCGAUUGGACCCGGUCCGGGCGGCGACGUCCGAGCCGGCGUCCGAGAAGACGAUCUAACUUGAUCAUUUAGAGGAAGUAAAAGUCGUAACAAGGUUUCCGUAGGUGAACCUGCGGAAGGAUCAUUA
rnacentral:ncRNA from 1 species